GUGUGUGUGUGUGUUUGUGUAGUGUGUGUAUAUAAUUUAUAUACACACACACACACUGCAUUAAUUAUAUACUCACACUACACAAACACACAC